GUAAAUUAACAGCAUUUAAGGUGGAAUGGUAAAUGAACAGUAUUUAAGGUGGAAUGGUAAAUUAACAGAAUUUAAGGUGGCGUGGUAAAUUAACAGCAUUUAAGGUGGAAUGGAAAAUUUACAGAAUUUAAGGUGGAGUGGAAAAUUUACAGAAUUUAAGGUGGAGUGGUAAAUUAACAGCAUUUAAGGUGGAAUGGUAAAUGAACAGUAUUUAAGGUGGAAUGGUAAAUUAACAGAAUUUAAGGUGGCGUGAUAAUUAACAGCAUUUAAGGUGGAAUGGAAAAUUUACAGAAUUUAAGGUGGAGUGGAAAAUUUACAGAAUUUAAGGUGGAGUGGUAAAUUAACAGCAUUUAAGGUGGAAUGGUAAAUGAACAGUAUUUAAGGUGGAAUGGUAAAUUAACAGAAUUUAAGGUGGAGUGGUAAAUUAACAGCAUUUAAGGUGGAAUGGUAAAUUAACAGCAUUUAAGGCAAAAGGCAAAAAACAAAAAUGAUUCA